rnacentral:rRNA from 1 species
UACGAGGGGAGCAAGCGUUGUUCGGAUUUACUGGGCGUAAAGGGCGCGUAGGCGGCGUGACAAGUCACUUGUGAAAUCUCCGGGCUUAACUCGGAACGGUCAAGUGAUACUGUCGUGCUAGAGUACAGAAGGGGCAACUGGAAUUCUCGGUGUAGCGGUGAAAUGCGUAGAUAUCGAGAGGAACACCUGCGGCGAAAGCGGCUCUCUGGAACGGUACUGACGCUGAGACGCGAAAGCGUGGGGAGCGAACAGG